GGUACAAAGAGCAGUUGCUUUGGAGAUGAUACACUGUCUCAUCUCGUCUUAUUGGUGUAAACUGGCAGGUUUUAGA